UGGGGAAUAUUGGGCAAUGGGCGCAAGCCUGACCCAGCAACGCCGCGUGAAGGAAGAAGGCUUUCGGGUUGUAAACUUCUUUUGUCAGGGACGAGUAGAAGACGGUACCUGACGAAUAAGCCACGGCUAACUACGUGCCAGCAGCCGCGGUAAUACGUAGGUGGCAAGCGUUGUCCGGAUUUACUGGGUGUAAAGGGCGUGUAGCCGGGAGGGCAAGUCAGAUGUGAAAUCCACGGGCUCAACCUGGGAACUGCUUUGGAAACUGUAUGGCUAGAGUGCUGGAGAGGUAAGCGGAAUUCCUAGUGUAGCGGUGAAAUGCGUAGAUAUUAGGAAGAACACCAGUGGCGAAGGCGGUCUGCUGGACAGCAACUGACGCUGAGGCGCGAAAGCGUGGGGAGCAAACAGG
rnacentral:rRNA from 1 species